UAGGGAAUCUUCGGCAAUGGGGGCAACCCUGACCGAGCAACGCCGCGUGAGUGAAGAAGGUUUUCGGAUCGUAAAGCUCUGUUGUAAGAGAAGAACGUGUGUGAGAGUGGAAAGUUCACACAGUGACGGUAACUUACCAGAAAGGGACGGCUAACUACGUGCCAGCAGCCGCGGUAAUACGUAGGUCCCGAGCGUUGUCCGGAGUUAUUGGGCGUAAAGCGAGCGCAGGCGGUUUAAUAAGUCUGAAGUUAAAGGCAGUGGCUUAACCAUUGUUCGCUUUGGAAACUGUUAAACUUGAGUGCAGAAGGGGAGAGUGGAAUUCCAUGUGUAGCGGUGAAAUGCGUAGAUAUAUGGAGGAACACCGGUGGCGAAAGCGGCUCUCUGGUCUGUAACUGACGCUGAGGCUCGAAAGCGUGGGGAGCAAACAGG
rnacentral:rRNA from 1 species